rnacentral:rRNA from 1 species
AGUGAACGCUGGCGGCAGGCCUAACACAUGCAAGUCGAGCGGCAGCGGGUCCUUCGGGAUGCCGGCGAGCGGCGGACGGGUGAGGAAUGCGUCGGAAUCUGCCUUUUUGUGGGGGAUAACGUAGGGAAACUUACGCUAAUACCGCAUACGACCUACGGGUGAAAGUGGGGGACCGCAAGGCCUCACGCAGAAAGAUGAGCCGACGCCGGAUUAGCUAGUUGGCGGGGGAAAGGCCCACCAAGGCGACGAUCCGUAGCUGGUCUGAGAGGAUGAUCAGCAACACUGGAACGGAGACACGGUCCAGACUCCUACGGGAGGCAGCAGUGGGGAAUAUUGGACAAUGGGCGCAAGCCUGAUCCAGCCAUGCCGCGUGUGUGAAGAAGGCCUUCGGGUUGUAAAGCACUUUUGUCCGGAAAGAAAUCCAAUCGAUUAAUACUCGGUUGGGAUGACGGUACCGGAAGAAUAAGCACCGGCUAACUUCGUGCCAGCAGCCGCCGUAACAC